AUUAGGGUGGCAGAGACCGGAAAUUGCAUAAGAUUUAAGACCUUAUAACAGAGGUUCAAACCCUCUCCCUAAUA
rnacentral:tRNA from 1 species